GACGAACGCUGGCGGCGUGCCUAAUACAUGCAAGUCGAGCGAAGUUUUUCUGGUGCUUGCACCGGAAAAACUUAGCGGCGAACGGGUGAGUAACACGUAAAGAACCUGCCUCAUAGACUGGGACAACUAUUGGAAACGAUAGCUAAUACCGGAUAACAGCAUUAACUGCAUGGUUGAUGUUUAAAAGUUGGUUUUGCUAACACUAUGAGAUGGCUUUGCGGUGCAUUAGCUAGUUGGUGGGGUAAAGGCCUACCAAGGCGACGAUGCAUAGCCGACCUGAGAGGGUGAUCGGCCACACUGGGACUGAGACACGGCCCAGACUCCUACGGGAGGCAGCAGUAGGGAAUCUUCCGCAAUGGGCGAAAGCCUGACGGAGCAACGCCGCGUGAGUGAAGAAGGAUUUCGGUUCGUAAAGCUCUGUUGUUAGGGAAGAAGGAUUGUGUAGUAACGAUACACAGUAGAGACGGUACCUAACCAGAAAGCCACGGCUAACUACGUG
rnacentral:rRNA from 1 species